rnacentral:rRNA from 1 species
UACGUAGGGACCGAGCGUUGUCCGGAAUCAUUGGGCGUAAAGCGCGUGUAGGCGGCUCGAUAAGUCUGCUGUGAAAGUUCAGGGCUCAACCCUGAAAUGCCGGUGGAAACUGUCGGGCUAGAGUCCGGAAGAGGCGAGUGGAAUUCCUGGUGUAGCGGUGAAAUGCGCAGAUAUCAGGAGGAACACCAAUGGCGAAGGCAGCUCGCUGGGACGGUACUGACGCUGAGACGCGAAAGCGUGGGGAGCAAACAGG